rnacentral:rRNA from 1 species
UGGGGAAUUUUGGACAAUGGGGGCAACCCUGAUCCAGCCAUUCCGCGUGAGUGAAGAAGGCCUUCGGGUUGUAAAGCUCUUUCAGCAGGAACGAAACGGUCGGCUUUAAUAAAGUCGGCUAAUGACGGUACCUGCAGAAGAAGCACCGGCUAACUACGUGCCAGCAGCCGCGGUAAUACGUAGGGUGCGAGCGUUAAUCGGAAUUACUGGGCGUAAAGCGUGCGCAGGCGGCGACAUAAGACAGAUGUGAAAUCCCCGGGCUCAACCUGGGAACUGCGUUUGUGACUGUGUUGCUAGAGUGUAGCAGAGGGGGGUGGAAUUCCACGUGUAGCAGUGAAAUGCGUAGAGAUGUGGAGGAACACCGAUGGCGAAGGCAGCCCCCUGGGUUAACACUGACGCUCAUGCACGAAAGCGUGGGGAGCAAACAGGAUUAGAUACCCUUGUAGUCCCUGAGCGGGCUGGCAAGGCGCAU